rnacentral:tRNA from 1 species
GUAUUGUUGGGUCGGUGGUAGGAUUCUUGCCUUCUAUGCGGGAGAUCUGGGUUUGAUUCUCAGACAGUGCA